rnacentral:rRNA from 1 species
UACGGGGGGAGCAAGCGUUGUUCGGAUUUACUGGGCGUAAAGGGCGCGUAGGCGGCGUAACAAGUCACUUGUGAAAUCUCCGGGCUUAACUCGGAGCGGUCAAGUGAUACUGUUGUGCUAGAGUGCGGAAGGGGCUACUGGAAUUCUCGGUGUAGCGGUGAAAUGCGUAGAUAUCAGGAGGAACACCGGCGGCGAAGGCGGCCCUCUGGAUCGUUGCUGACGCUGAGACGCGAAAGCGUGGGGAGCAAACAGG